rnacentral:rRNA from 1 species
AUUGAACGCUGGCGGCAGGCCUAACACAUGCAAGUCGAACGAGUGGCGGACGGGUGAGUAAUGUCUGGGAAACUGCCCGAUGGAGGGGGAUAACUACUGGAAACGGUAGCUAAUACCGCAUACCAUCGGAUGUGCCCCGAUGGGAUUAGCUCGUAGGUGGGGUAACGGCUCACCUAGGCGACGAUCCCUCGCUGGUCUGAGAGGAUGACCAGCCACACUUGAACUUGGACACGGGCCAGAGUCCGACGGGAGGCAGCAGUGGGGAAUAUUGCACAAUGGGCGCAAGCCUGAUACAGCCAUGCCGCGUGUAUUAAGAAGGCCUUCGGGUUGUAAAGUACUUUCAGCGAGGAGGCGGUACUCGCAGAAGAAGCACCGGCUAACUCCGUGCCAGCCGCCGCGGUAAUUC